UUUCCGUAGGUGAACCUGCGGAAGGAUCAUUAAAGUUAUAGUCCCCUGGCCUUCUGGCGGGGGUCUCCUAUACCACCCUUUGUUUAUUACACCUUUGUUGCUUUGGCAGGCCUGCCCUCGGGCUGCUGGCUCCGGCCGGCGAGCGCCUGCCAGAGGACCUAAACUCUGUUUGUCUAUAAUGACUGAGUACUAUAUAAUAGUUAAAACUUUCAACAACGGAUCUCUUGGUUCUG
rnacentral:misc_RNA from 1 species